rfam:Triticum aestivum genome assembly, contig: Triticum_aestivum_CS42_TGACv1_scaffold_527063_6DL
UAUGUACUCCUUCCGUCCUGAAAUACUUGUCGGAGAAUGCAUAAAAAUGUAUGUACCUAGAACUAAAAUACGUCUAGAUACAUCCAUUCCUCCGACAAGUAUUUCCGGACGGAGGGAGUACAUA